rnacentral:sRNA from 1 species
AAGCCAAAGUCUGCAGAGCAGACGCGGGGGAACCAAGUUUUCGGGGUGAAGCCGCUAAUCGAAGCUAUUGCGGCAGGGGCGCUCUUUGACCCGAACCCGUCAGCUAACCUCGCAGGCAAAACAAAGGGA